rnacentral:lncRNA from 1 species
GGAUCUGCAGGGAGAACAGGGGGCAUGUGCCCUCAGAUCUGUCUCCCUGAUUCAGGGUUUGGGGCAAAAUAUAAGAGGUUGGGGAGAACAGGCUGGCACGCAGAAAUGUUGGUGGGACAGGUUUUGAUUGGUGGACUUCAAGCAUUUGUGGUAAGGUUCUAAACAGUUAUGACAGGGUUCUAAACAUUUUUGAUGAGGUGGGGAAAGAAUUCUAACACCAGAUCUUCCUGAAUGAGGGGCUCCCUCGCUUCUGAUAAGAGUUCAACCUUCAAGUUCGGGUCGUGUCCUGGUCCUUGGGUUCCAUGGGAAGGAGGAUCUUUGGUUCCACGGUCAUUUCAGAAGUACUGGUGUGUGAGGGAGCAGAGAAACAGAAACGGCCCUUGUGCUUCCCACAGCUGCUUUGAGAAGCGCUGCUCCAGCCCAAGCUCCCAGCCCUUCACUUGGCCUGAUGGCCUGUGCCCCUCCCAGUCUCGCCUUGCUCCCCAUCUCUCCUUUCCACGGCAUGCCUGCUCCCACCUGCUCCCUGCCUUGAACCUUCAGAUGAGUGCUUCCUCCUGCCAGCGUCUCUUCCAUCCUCUCUCCACUCAGCCCUCUGCUCUCCGGCCCUCUGGGGCGGCUCAAAUGUGACUUCCUCACCGGGCCUUCCCCACACACCACAGCCUCACUGAGGGUGCUCCUUGUGUUCCUGAACACCUGCCAUUCCUCUUUCCUCCCAGCACCUGAUCCCAGUUGAGAGUUUACAGUUUAAUGCUAGACCUCCCUUAUCCCCCCAGCUCUAGUCUCCACGAAGGCAGGUAUCACGCUGCCCUAUCCAUCACCAUCUCCCUGGUUUCCAGUAAGAUGCCUAGCACACAGUAGUUCUGAUGUUGGCUGGCUUUUCUGAGAAUAAUAAACAUCACCUACCAGUGCUGUUCUGUAGGCUGCCUCCUCUUGUCUUCGUUUGGAAAGAUUCUCAAUAUUGCCAGGGGCAAGAUCACUUCACAGGCACGUAACGUGUGGCCGUGUCUCUCUGGUGAUGUGAGCAGCCGUGGCGAUCGUGGACUGGAUCCACUAAAUCAUUAGGAGCAUGCAGAGUGCGGAUGUUCCACCACUCACUCCGCGUUUACUAGCUGGAAUCCUCCUAGACAAAGAAACUCCUCAUGUUUAACUAUCUGAUUAUGCAAAGGAACAGUUCAUACAGGAAAGGCAGGACAUAUGCUUGAUUUCCUCCUUUUUGUUAACCAGUUUUAAAAAUAAAGGAGUGGGCUCUCCAGAAUCUGCCAAAGCGAU